rfam:Ipomoea nil DNA, scaffold: scaffold0799, cultivar: Tokyo-kokei standard.
ACUCUUGUAGCUCAGUUGGUUAGAGCACCCGUUUAGUAAGCAGGAAGUGGGAGGUCUUGAGUUCAACUAUCAACAAGAGCA